rnacentral:tRNA from 1 species
GCCGGUGUAGCUCAGUCGGUAGAGCAACACAUUCGUAAUGUGUGGGUCAACGGUUCGAUUCCGUUCAUCGGCU